AUCUUUUUAUUUCCCACACACUUUUUUUUGGCCAAAAAUUUCAUUCCACUUUCAUUCAUUUGUCGCGACAAAAAACCCCAAUCCUUCUUAAUUUCAAUCUUUCAUUCGAAAACCUCAAAAUCAGUUCUUUCAUCUUCCCAAAGUCAUGUAUUUCUUCCCUAAAACAUAAUCCCCAAAUUUAUUUGUUACCAUCCUCUCUCACCGUGCACCAGCUCUCUCAAUCAGUUUGAUUUUGCUCUGCAACAGUUCCAAUUCGCCGUACACCAGUUCUAUUGGGUUGAUUAAAAGCUUUCUCGCUUUCUCCUUUUGGUUUUGCAAUGGAGCUAUGUUGAAACAAAACAAAUUACCCAACGCAUCAAAUAGUCUAAAUUGUCAAGCUCUUGUCAACUAUUAUGGCGUUCAACCAGCAAGAUAUUACAGAAAUGAGAUUGAAGUGAAAGUGGAGAAGGAAAAUGGCAAAGUGUAUUUUAAAGAUGGUUGGCAUCGAUUAAGUGAUGUUUACAAUGUUACAUCAGGAGCAUGGGUUACUCUUACAUACCUAAACCCAUCACUUUGUCUAAUUAAACUCAAAGAUUUGUACAAUGUUGAAAUUGAAUAUCCUAAGCAUACUCCUCCAUUAAGUUUGAAGUGAAACGUUGAUUUCUUGAUGCAAGUGCUUCCAAUGGACCUGAUGCUUCAGUUAGUCUUUUAUGGAUUUUUUUUAAUGCUUUGAGUUUUUUUAUCAUACAUUGGAGAAGACUUUGAUAAGUUCUAAUGUCUCACAUCUUUUGCACCUUUGAAUUAUUCAAGAUAUUUGGGCCUAAAUUAUGUUGUUAUUGCUCUUUUGAAUGUAAUCUUUGUUUUGUUAUCAAGUAUUCUAUAUAUUGAACAAGCACUUUUGGAUGAAA